AUUGAACGCUGGCGGCAGGCCUAACACAUGCAAGUCGAACGAGUGGCGGACGGGUGAGUAAUGUCUGGGAAACUGCCUGAUGGAGGGGGAUAACUACUGGAAACGGUAGCUAAUACCGCAUACCAUCGGAUGUGCCCAGAUGGGAUUAGCUAGUGGGUGGGAUAAAGGCUCACCUAGGCGACGAUCCCUAGCUGGUCUGAGAGGAUGACCAGCCACACUGGAACUGAGACACGGUACAGACUCCGACGUGAGGCAGCAGUGGGGAUUAUUGCACAAGGGGCGCAAGCCUGAUGCAGCAAUGCCGCGGGUAUGAAGAAGGCCGUCGGGUUGUAAAGUACUUUCAGCGGGGAGGCGUUACCCGCAGAAGAAGCACCGGCUAACUCCGUGCCAGCCGCCGCGGUAAUAC
rnacentral:rRNA from 1 species